rnacentral:rRNA from 1 species
AGAGUUUGAUCCUGGCUCAGGACGAACGCUGGCGGCGUGCCUAACACAUGCAAGUCGAGCGGGGAAGGCCUUCGGGUUUUUCCAGCGGCGGACGGGUGAGUGUAACGCGUGAGCAACCUUUCCUUCACAGGGGGAUAACGCAGCGAAAGCUGUGCUAAUACCGCAUAAGACCACGAUGUCGCAUGGCAAAGGGGUCAAAGGAGAAAUCCAGUGAAGGGUGGGCUCGCGUCUGAUUAGCUAGUUGGCGGGGUAACGGCCCACCAAGGUAUCGAUCAGUAGCCGACCUGAGAGGGUGAUCGGCCACACUGGGACUGAGACACGGCCCAGACUCCUACGGGAGGCAGCAGUGGGGAAUCUUCCGCAAUGGACGAAAGUCUGACGGAGCGACGCCGCGUGAGUGAUGAAGGCCCUUGGGUCGUAAAGCUCUGUGAUAUUGAUGCUUAUGUUUGACGGUACAAUAAGAGGAAGCCACGGCUAACUACGUGCCAGCAGCCGCGGUAAUACGUAGGUGGCAAGCGUUGUCCGGAAUUACUGGGCGUAAAGGGAGCGUAGGCGGUCUUUUAAGUUAGAUGUGAAAUACCCGGGCUCAACUUGGGAGGUGCAUCUAAAACUGGAAGACUUGAGUGCAGGAGAGGGCAAUGGAAUUCCAUGUGUAGCGGUAAAAUGCGUAGAUAUAUGGAGGAACACCAGUGGCGAAGGCGGCUGCCUGGCCUGUAACUGACGCUGAGGCGCGAAAGCGUGGGGAGCAAACAGGAUUAGAUACCCUGGUAGUCCACGCCGUAAACGAUGAGUGCUAGGUGUCGGGGGUAUCGACCCCCUCGGUGCCACAGCUAACGCAAUAAGCACUCCGCCUGGGGAGUACGGUCGCAAGACUGAAACUCAAAGGAAUUGACGGGGGCCCGCACAAGCGGUGGAGUAUGUGGUUUAAUUCGACGCAACGCGAAGAACCUUACCAAGGCUUGACAUCCCGUGACAGCUAUGGAAACAUAGUCUUUCGCCUUCGGGUGAACACGGAGACAGGUGGUGCAUGGUUGUCGUCAGCUCGUGUCGUGAGAUGUUGGGUUAAGUCCCGCAACGAGCGCAACCCCUACAGCUAGUUGCCAGCACAUAAAGGUGGGAACUCUAGCAGAACUGCCGUUGACAAAACGGAGGAAGGUGGGGAUGACGUCAAAUCAUCAUGCCCCUUAUGUCCUGGGCUACACACGUACUACAAUGGCCUGAACAGAGGGAAGCGAAGGAGUGAUGUGAAGCGAAACCCAAAAAAGCAGUCUCAGUUCGGAUCGUGGGCUGCAACCCGCCCACGUGAAGCCGGAGUUGCUAGUAAUCGCGAAUCAGCAUGUCGCGGUGAAUGCGUUCCCGGGCCUUGUACACACCGCC